AUUGAACGCUGGUGGCAUGCUUAACACAUGCAAGUCGAACGGAAACGACACUAGCUUGCUAGUAGGCGUCGAGUGGCGGACGGGUGAGUAACGCGUAGGAAUCUACCCAUUUGAGGGGGAUACCAGUUGGAAACGACUGUUAAUACCGCAUAAUAUCUGUGGAUUAAAGGUGGCCUUUGUGCUGCCGCAGAUGGAUGAGCCUGCGUUGGAUUAGCUUGUUGGUGGGGUAAAGGCCUACCAAGGCUGCGAUCCAUAGCUGAUUUGAGAGGAUGAUCAGCCACAUUGGGACUGAGACACGGCCCAA
rnacentral:rRNA from 1 species